AGAAAACAAGAGUUUCAUGAUGAAGAUGAAUUGUGGCGAACUGUUCUGGAUAUGAUUCAUAUAUUUGUUUCUUCGGUCUGUUCCUGUGUUUCGCGAAAGGUGUGUUUGGUGUUGAUACGGAUGGAUUGAAGUCAGUGUCGGUGAUGGAUGGAGAUUCUGUCACUCUACACACUGAUCUUACUGAAAUACAGAGAGAUGAUCACAUACUGUGGAUGUUUGGACCUCAAGAGACUCGAAUAGCUGAAAUUAUUAAACGGUUCAACUUGAGCUUUAUAGAUGAUGGUGAUGAUGGAAGAUUCAGAGACAAACUGCAGUUGGAUGAUCAGACUGGAUCUCUUCAGAAUCAUCAGAAUCAAACACUCUGGACUUUAUAAACUAAUGAUCAUCAGUAACAGAGGAAACUCAUACAAGAGAUUCAGUGUUACUGUAUACGCUCCCCUCCCUGUUCCUGUCAUUAUCAUUAACUCUUCAAACUGUUCUUCAUCAUCAUCAUCAUCAUCAGGAAGAUCAUUGAGCCCAAAAUGUUUCUUUCAAUGUUCAGUAAUGACA